GACGUAGGGCGCGAGCGUUGUCCGGAUUUACUGGGCGUAAAGAGCGCGCAGGCGGUCGUUCAAGUCGCGUGUGAAAGCCCCCGGCUCAACUGGGGAGGGUCACGCGAUACUGAUCGACUCGAAGGCAGGAGAGGGAAGUGGAAUUCCCGGUGUAGUGGUGAAAUGCGUAGAUAUCGGGAGGAACACCAGUGGCGAAGGCGACUUCCUGGCCUGUUCUUGACGCUGAGGCGCGAAAGCUAGGGGAGCAAACGGG
rnacentral:rRNA from 1 species